rnacentral:rRNA from 1 species
GCGUCGGUAAGGUGAUAUGAACCGUUAUAACCGGCGAUUUCCGAAUGGGGAAACCCAGUGUGUUUCGACACACUAUCAUUAACUGAAUCCAUAGGUUAAUGAGGCGAACCGGGGGAACUGAAACAUCUAAGUACCCCGAGGAAAAGAAAUCAACCGAGAUUCCCCCAGUAGCGGCGAGCGAACGGGGAGGAGCCCAGAGCCUGAAUCAGUGUGUGUGUUAGUGGAAGCGUCUGGAAAGGCGCGCGAUACAGGGUGACAGCCCCGUACACAAAAAUGCACAUGCUGUGAGCUCGAUGAGUAGGGCGGGACACGUGGUAUCCUGUCUGAAUAUGGGGGGACCAUCCUCCAAGGCUAAAUACUCCUGACUGACCGAUAGUGAACCAGUACCGUGAGGGAAAGGCGAAAAGAACCCCGGCGAGGGGAGUGAAAAAGAACCUGAAACCGUGUACGUACAAGCAGUGGGAGCACGCUUAGGCGUGUGACUGCGUACCUUUUGUAUAAUGGGUCAGCGACUUAUAUUCUGUAGCAAGGUUAACCGAAUAGGGGAGCCGAAGGGAAACCGAGUCUUAACUGGGCGUUAAGUUGCAGGGUAUAGACCCGAAACCCGGUGAUCUAGCCAUGGGCAGGUUGAAGGUUGGGUAACACUAACUGGAGGACCGAACCGACUAAUGUUGAAAAAUUAGCGGAUGACUUGUGGCUGGGGGUGAAAGGCCAAUCAAACCGGGAGAUAGCUGGUUCUCCCCGAAAGCUAUUUAGGUAGCGCCUCGUGAAUUCAUCUCCGGGGGUAGAGCACUGUUUCGGCAAGGGGGUCAUCCCGACUUACCAACCCGAUGCAAACUGCGAAUACCGGAGAAUGUUAUCACGGGAGACACACGGCGGGUGCUAACGUCCGUCGUGAAGAGGGAAACAACCCAGACCGCCAGCUAAGGUCCCAAAGUCAUGGUUAAGUGGGAAACGAUGUGGGAAGGCCCAGACAGCCAGGAUGUUGGCUUAGAAGCAGCCAUCAUUUAAAGAAAGCGUAAUAGCUCACUGGUCGAGUCGGCCUGCGCGGAAGAUGUAACGGGGCUAAACCAUG